GCCAGGCGUGGUGGCGCGUGUCUGUAAUUCCAGCUACUCAGGAGGCUGAGACAGGAGAAUUGCUUGAACCCAGGAGGUGGAGGUUGCAGUGAGCUGAGAUUGUGCCACUGCACUCCAGCCUGGGUGACAGAGCAAGAUUCUGUCUCAA
ensembl:misc_RNA Metazoa_SRP Metazoan signal recognition particle RNA